CCUACGGGAGGCUGCAGUGGGGAAUAUUGGACAAUGGGCGAAAGCCUGAUCCAGCCAUGCCGCGUGUGUGAAGAAGGCCUUCGGGUUGUAAAGCACUUUCAGUGGGGAAGAAAGCCUUGGGGCUAAUACCCUCGAGGAAGGACAUCACCCACAGAAGAAGCACCGGCUAACUCCGUGCCAGCAGCCGCGGUAAUACGGAGGGUGCGAGCGUUAAUCGGAAUUACUGGGCGUAAAGCGCGCGUAGGCGGUCUGAUAAGCCGGUUGUGAAAGCCCCGGGCUCAACCUGGGAACGGCAUCCGGAACUGUCAGGCUAGGGUGCAGGGGAGGAAGGUAGGAUUCCCGGUGUAGCGGUGAAAUGCGUAGAGAUCGGGAGGAAUACCAGUGGCGAAGGCGGCCUUCUGGACUGACACUGACGCUGAGGUGCGAAAGCGUGGGUAGCAAACAGGAUUAGAUACCCUAGUAGUC
rnacentral:rRNA from 1 species